GAGAAGUUUGGCCAAUUGGUAGACCAUUUGAUUGUAAGUCAAAAUACUAUAAGUUCGAAUCUUAUACUUCUCA